CGGCGGGCUCGGGGGGUCCCCCCGUCGUGUACCAGCCCAGGAACUCCAGGUCCUUGAACACCUGCUUGACUUGGGGGGAAAACAGAAAUUGGGAACACCAAAAUUACCCAAAAUUACCCAAAAUCCCCAAAACCCAGGAACUCCAGGUCCUUGAACACCUGCUUGACUUGGGGGGAAAACAGAAAUUGGGGACACCAAAAUUACCCAAAAUCCCCAAAAUUGGGAACCCCAAAACCCAGGAACUCCAGGUCCUUGAACACCUGCUUGACUUGGGGGGAAAAACCAAAAUUGGGAACCCCAAAAUUACCCAAAAUCCUCCUCAAAAUCCAGCCCAGGAACCCCAAAAUCCCCAAAAUUGGGAACCCCAAACCCCAGGAACUCCAGGUCCUUGAACACCUGCUUGACUUUGGGGGGGAAAAACCAAAAUUGGGAACCCCAAAAUUACCCAAAA
rnacentral:lncRNA from 1 species